AUUGAACGCUGGCGGCAGGCCUAACACAUGCAAGUCGAACGAGUGGCGGACGGGUGAGUAAUGUCUGGGAAACUGCCUGCUGGAGGGGGAUAACUACUGGAAACGGUCGCUAAUACCGCAUACCAUCAGAUGUGCCCAGAUUGGAUUUGCUAGUUGGUGGGGUAACGUCUCACCAAGGCGACUAUCCCUAGCUGGUCUGAGAGGAUGACCAGCCACAUUGGAACGGAGACACGGUCCAGCCUCCUACGGGAGGCAGCAGUGGGGAAUUGUGAACAAUGGGCGCAAGCCUGAUGCAGCCAUGCCGCGUGUAUGAAGAAGGCCUUCGGGUUGUAAAGUACUUUCAGCGGGGAGGCGUUACCCGCAGAAGAAGCACCGGCUAACUCCGUGCCAGCAGCCGCGGUAAUAC
rnacentral:rRNA from 1 species